UUUUCAGAAUUUGAAAAACGGAGAUACAAAGGGAGCUGUGGCAGCUGAAUUCUCUUUCAUGUGUGUCCAGUCCAGGUGAAGCCCAGCAUAAUGUACUGUAAUAUGUCUCUUCAAUUCUCUGAUACAAUGACCUGUGCAUCCUCUAAAUCCCCCACAGAAUGCACAGACACAGACUGAUUGAGUCCACAGGAGCAGGAGGAGUCCCAGGGAGUCUUGGGCAGUUUUUUACCAUCUUUAUCCUUGUGGAGAAUCACAGCCCACAUGCAAAGAUGAUGUGCAAAUUCAUGAGGCACUCCAUGGCAGCUGUGAACAUGUGUGUCAAGGUUUCACUUUUCCAUGUAACCCUAAAGAGUGGACACAAAAGACAUGUAUUUGCUUGAAAG